CUUGAGAAGAAAUGCACAUGGUCACCAUCGGUGAGGGAUGAGAGGCCCUCUCUUGCAGAUCUUUCGACACAGCCAGACGGGCUAGUGAGGCCAGAGGAUCCCUGGGCCUUGCUGCUUAACCACCUUACCAGGAAGGCGGUGCCAAGGCAGCGCAGGGAUGGACCCCACUGCUCCGCUCACAGCAUUAAGGGUGGAGAGGGCCUGCCCCACGGUCUCUGACAGCUGACAGCCUGAUUUCCAACGAGAUGACUCCCCAGCCAGAGACCAGAAUCUGCAAAAGCUGCAGCUCUGAAGAAAACAAGGCAAAAUCUUAGCAUCUGUUUGAUCUUGGAGGUGGACACAGAGGGCCACGAUCUGACAUCUCACACU